CCUGGCUAAACUAUGUGGCGGCCAUGUUGGUAGGGGCAACGUUCUCAUCACAAGGAAUGGAUGGUCAUUGAAAGUAAGUCAGACGUUUCUCAUUUUUAGAAAGAUUUUCACCAGGCUUGUCAACAAGAAUUAAGUCCAACAGUUACACACAACAAGUACAGCAGCGACGCGAUUCAACAGCAAGCCUGCUAGCAAACUGGCUAAACUAUGUGGCGGCCAUGUUGGUAGGGGCAACGUUCUCAUCACAAGGAAUGGAUCAACAUUGAAAGUAAGUCUCUUUCUCAUUUUUAGAAAGAUUUUCACCAGGCUUGUCAACAACAAGAAUUAAGUCCAACAGUUACACACAACAUUUGGAGAAAAAGAAGCGUGGAAGUCCACAUGCUCACAAGGGUUGAGGAUCGAACGCACAACCUUACGGUUGGGAGACCACCGCUCUACCACCUGAAAGUCCACGGAUAUGAAUUUGAAAUGGAC